rnacentral:rRNA from 1 species
AGUGAACGCUGGCGGCGUGCUUAACACAUGCAAGUCGAACGAGAACGGAUUAUAGCUUGCUAUAAUUGUCAGCUAAGUGGCGCACGGGUGAGUAAUGUAUAGGUAAUAUGCCUCUUACUAAGGGAUAACAAAUGGAAACGUUUGCUAAUACCUUAUACUCCUUAUUAACAGAAGUUAAUAAGGGAAAGAUUUAUUGGUAAGAGAUUAGCCUGUAUUGUAUCAGUUAGUUGGUGGGGUAAUGGCUUACCAAGACUAUGAAACAUAACUGGUUUGAGAGGAUGAUCAGUCACACUGGAACUGAUACACGGUGCAGACUCCUACGGGAGGCAGCAGUGGGGAAUAUUGCACAAUGGACGAAAGUCUUAUGCAGCGACACCGCUUGGAUUAUAACACAUUUCGGUGCGUAAACUCCCUUUAUAUGAGAAGAUAAUGACGGUAUUAUAUGAAUAAGCACCGGCUAACUCCGUGCCAGCAGCCGCCGUAA